ensembl:snRNA U6 U6 spliceosomal RNA
GUGCUCCUUCAGCAGCACAUAUACCAAAAUCCAAACACAGAGAUUAGCAUGGUCCCUGCACAAGCAUGACACGCAAAUUCUUGAAGCGUUCCAUAGAUGC